UCAUCAAGAGGCCCUGAUUUAUGCUGUUCCUCCACUUGACAGCAAUGACACUACAGACGAGGACAGCGAUAGCUCUGAUGACGGACAUGAAGGAAAUUUGAAUCAUCUGGGUCGGCGCAUGUUGCAAACUACCUGUGAGCUCUGCAGGAGAAAGCGCAAUUUCGGAAAACUAAAGCACACUCUCAUCUUCCACAAGGUAAGGUAUACAUGUACAACUGUUAUUCCACCUGCCUACACCAGGAAGCAUAGUUCCACCACGCAGAGGAUUGUGACAUGGGGAAGGCUACCUUUACUUCAGUUUCUCAUGCUGCAACGGGGAACAAACACCAAAGAUCCUACCCUGAAACCCCUGCGGGUGCUAAUGACCGAUAAUGUGGUCACUGCUUUUAGAUGGAAAGGCGGACAGGGGAAAUAAAUGCUUUGUGACCUCAUGUGCUGUGAAGCCGUAUUCCGGUGCAUCACGUCACAUCGGCUACUGAAGAAUACGACAGAUUCGGAAAUUAAGUGUCACGUAAGAUCAUGGCUUCGACAUACCAAAGAACGUCUCAACAGGAAGGCCGCUAACAAAGAAAAGCCAUCACAGGAUUGACAUGUGCCACGCACGAGGUUGAUGAUGAUGAUGAUUGGGAUUUUUUUGGCGCAGCGACAACGAAGGUCAUAAGCCACGCACGAGGACUCGGACAUUUCUGGUAUAUGUGUUAAAUAUUUUGCGCAUCACGCUUCACUGUGUUUUCGCUGUUCAACUUGGUACUUUUCUAUUGUAGUAUUUUCGUGUUAACUUCACAUGCUGAAGUAGCAAACCAUACCAUGCAUGUCCAUGCGGUCCGUGAGUGUUUUCAAGUGUUACAGAUUUCACGAUUCAAACUAUCAGGGUUACCUGCAUGCAGUUUUUUCCAUGGGCUUGGUAGACAACAUGUGUGACAUAUUUUGUGACUAGAGUUUGGCUAACUAAUUAGGAUUCACAAAUUAACUUAAUCAGCGCUUCACCGGAAAUGCUUGCAUAGGAGAACUGGAGGCAGAUCUCGACCUCGUUAGACAAGUAAGUCUAACCUCGUAGUAAGUAAGUAACCUCGUUAUGCAGAAAUGGUGCAGGAACCAAGGUGAAACUGUGCGUAUGAAGUACAGGAACUGCCACAGCCACUGUCAGACGAUCAUGCGUACUGACACAAGUACACAGCAAAAUGUUGAACGGUUGUCGCGCAGAGCUGACGGGAGCGAGCACUGUACUGUCGUCAGCACCUUUUUCCUAAGUUGUUUGAUUUUACAGGAGCUUUCUAUUUGCAAGGGCUCCCAUUUGCAUGAACCGGCUUUCAUUGCAGACCAAAUACGUUACAAAACUUUUACUAAGGGAAGUCAUUAGCGUUAGUUUUACCUGUAGCUCCUGUACCUGUUACAGCUUCAUAUGUAGUCAUAGU